rnacentral:rRNA from 1 species
UACGUAGGGUGCGAGCGUUGUCCGGAAUUAUUGGGCGUAAAGAGCUCGUAGGCGGCCUGUCGCGUCGGAUGUGAAAGCCCGGGGCUUAACCCCGGGUCUGCAUUCGAUACGGGCAGGCUAGAGUUCGGUAGGGGAGAUUGGAAUUCCUGGUGUAGCGGUGGAAUGCGCAGAUAUCAGGAGGAACACCGAUGGCGAAGGCAGAUCUCUGGGCCGUAACUGACGCUGAGGAGCGAAAGCAUGGGGAGCGAACAGG